rnacentral:lncRNA from 1 species
UAUUUUUGUCUCUCCCAAUUCCCUAAACCUAAAACCAAUUCCUCUUCCCCAUUCUCUCACAUCCGACUCUCCUCUCCCAGCCGCAAUUCGCCGUACUGGUCACCUCCACCAUCGCCCUAGACUGACUCGCGCACACAACACAGUCCGCCGCCUUCCUUGGGGACGGCGAAAUCGCCGCUCCUCCCUCUCUUUCACGCAAUCCGCCCACUCCUCCCUUCCUGCAGUUCCCGGCGAGCAACGGUGAAGACCGCCACCGCCGUCUCAACCCCCGAUUCUCCCUCGCCCUUCCCCCCUAUCUACAGAACCUUACGGCCGCAGUGGCUCAAGACCGCGGCCAUGGUCGUCCGCCACCGUGCCGCCCCGCGCCGGCACCCUCCGCAUCUCCUUUCCCCCGACCACACAAGCUCUCCUUUCCCCCGACCACAGCCAUGGCACAGCCGCUGUCAAUGGGUGUCUCGCACAUUUGAACUAAAGGUUUUUCGUCGGUCCUCCUGUCUUGACCCGCAACAUAUAUUUGUCAAUCUCCGUUUCAUAUUUUUUUUCUCAUUGCAGGCGCAAAUUUCUCAGUUUUCUCGAAUUUCUCAAGGUGAUCUCCCUCCCCCUCUCCUCUUGUGGCAUAAUGAAUCUCAACGAUACAUUUACAAUUCAUUGAUUCUCGGAAUCGUAUUAUGUUGAAUUCCUCCGUUUCUUUUUUCCUUUUUCUCAAUUUUCUGCUAUGUUGUAGAUAGGGGAUUCAAUGAUUGCUUGAUUCUGGAGGGAAAUUAGGGUUGAUAAGAUAGUGAGGAAAGGGGAAAAAAAAGAUGGGUUAUUUCAAGCAGGCGCUAAGAAGCAUCGAUGCGUUCCCGAGAGCUGAAGACCAUCUGCUGCAAAAGACAAAAUCCAGGCCUUUGGUAUGAUCUUCCAUCUUUUCUCCCCCAAAAUUUAAAACUUUCGCUUUCAAGUCGGUGCCGCCUUAACCACCAUUCUCUAAUCCAACCAUGGGACGGGUCAUAGCCAGCUCCAAUGGCUGCCCAGCCGCAUCCGCAUCUAUGCAACGCCGACCACCACAUUGACCCCUAGCCCUCACAUGGUAAGUAUUAAAGAUUAUGUUUGACUAUUGUGAAUAUGGAAUGAUUAGUGGAAUGAUUAGUGCUUAAUUUUAGAAAUAACAAAUUUUGGAAAUAUAUAUGCAAUUAUAUGAUUUAGCUUUCAAUCAAUAAUCAACCAAUUUUUAGGUACAAGUUUUAAAAUGGAAACUUUGUAAUGCUUCGAGUUUUACAGCUAACGCCCGGUAUUUGUUCUAUUUUUUAUUUGUGUUUCUUCUUCUUUUUCUUGGUAUUGUUAUAAACUGAAUUUUAUGUACUCUUUUGUUCCUUAAAAAAAGAAUAUGUUUUGUUUCUUAUAUAGUGUGUGGAUGUGAUUGUGAAUGGGUUAGAGAUAUUGGCUCCUCGUGUGGAGUAAUAGUAAUAUUUUAUUGCCGCAUUAAGUUUACAGCAGCACAUUCUACUGUCUUCUUGCUUAUUGCUCAUUUUGCUCAUUUUUCAAGGUAUACAGUAUAUCAAUUUUAUUUUAUUACUAUUUUUUUACUCAAUUAUCAGAAUAUAUGUAUGAUGAACAAUUUGGCAAAUUUUAUUUUAUUUGAGAUUUGAAUUUUCUUGGAGUAUGAGAGGAACAAAGAGAUGUGGCAUGAGCUGGAAGAGCUUAUGCUUGAUAUCUUUGUUGUCUUGAUUGGGUAAUUAUAUUAUUUGCUCACCAUUAAGUGUGUUUGGAGUGAUUAAAAAUUUACAUAUUAUAAGAAUGUGAUUGUGUUUUGUCGAGGGAUUUUAAGAUAUGGAAUUCAAAUUCGUAGUUGAAUCACUUGAGUUUUUAAAGUUCAUAAACUCUUCUUCACACACACAUCGUUUUUUCAUCUUCUUUGCUAUUGAAAUGCCUUGAAAUAAAUGAUAGAAUUUUUUUUUCAUCUAACUACUUUCAAUUUUUCUCCAAUAUAAGAUUCUUACAUUGUUUGGGUUCUGCUGUGUACUAGAAUUUCUGCAGCUGCUAUGGGACUGUUGUAGAUGCUGCAAACAAGGUAUUUUCUUUCAAUUUGUUUGAUUUUUAUUCUUGAGAAUCCUCUUUUUCAAAUUUAGUUAAAACAAAUAAAUAGAGCUAAUUGCAUCACUUAGUUUAUUGAGUCAGCUGUUUCUUUUUAGAAUCUUUGUAUCCAAAGAUCAACAUAUUUAAGUUCACAUCAGUUCACACAGUUUUGUGAUGCUUGAUUACUCUAUUUCAUUUAGCUUUUUUAUGCAUAUUCUAUCUCUGAGUUCUCUUUCUUCCUGUUUAAAAAGUUGUGAUAUCAACAAGGAAAAAAAGUAGAAUCAGUGAUUGAUUAGGAGCUGGAAACUUAUAUUCUUUUCAUUAUACGGUUUCUCUUUAUUUAAUUGCAUAUGCACAACUCCUAUGUAGAAUGCAGAAUCCUUUAAAAGCAAAAAUUCAGCAUUUUAAGAAAUGUAAAAUGAAAACGAUCUAGAUAAAAGGAGUGCAACUAUUAAUGCAAUAGUUUGAAUACUAUCCAAAUGGGGUAAAGACGUUUGGUAAGGAAAUACUUUUAGAUUUCGAAUGUAAACUGUUGUAGGUUGUGUGUGUGGAGUUGAUUACUUUGAUUAUUUAUUAUCCUAAGCUUGUGUCUCUCAAAUGUUGUAAGGGGGAAAAGGAAGCUCAUAGGGCUCCAUUUUCCUGCUCUCUAUGUUUGCUUUUGGCUGCAAUAUAGUGCGAGGUGGGAAGUCUUUGAAUGCAUUGUAAGGGUGGGUUUUCAGCAAAGGCCCAUAUGACACACCAUUGUGUGUUGGUUCUUAAUCCUGCUCCAUAUUGUUAAAUUGCAGAGCAUGAGUUUCAAAGAAAGAUGUUGGUCUGAAUAUUUUCUUAACUUUUGAAUUGCUGAAUUAAACAUAGUGCGAGGUGGGAAAUCUACCAUUCUCAUGCAGACAUAGAAUUAUCUGUGUUCUGCUUUUUUAAUUUGAUUCAUGUACUAUGAGCAUAUAUAACUUUUCUCUGUACAAAUGUUACAAUUACUAUGUAUGCACCUCUUUCAGGAUUUCUUUCUCAUAUUUAGAUCGAGUCUGAAAUCUUUAUCUGCUUCUAUGAGUCGUGGAAAUCAAUCAUCUUGGAAAUCGAGUAUUGCCAGCCAUGGGCCAAUGCAAACUGGAGAAAAGAUGGUAAUAAAGAAACAUUUGUUUCCUUGAGCUCAUUAAUGAUCCAGAUUCUUCACUUAUUAACAGAGGCUAUUCUUAUUUGAUCGACUGUACGCAAAAGGGGAAACUGGCAGUUAAAAGAAUUCAUUGUAAAUUGUGAUCACAUUGAUUUUAUUUUUUAUUUUUUGAAUUUUGUGUUUGUUGGAAGUAGUCAUUCUAUUAGACGAGACAACACCUUUUAAUUGAAU